GGUCGCUUCCUUGGCAACAUCUCCAAACAGAACUUGGAACUCUUGCUACUGGCUUAUAACUGCCAUCUCCCAAGCUCACUUGGCCAGAGACGGUCAACAGCGAACGUGCUGAGCUGCUUCUCCACUUCGAAAGGCCGCAGCCUCAAGACCCCAGGUAGAGAAUGUAUCUGUGAAAGAAUAAGAAGACGGCUGACUCCAUCCAGAUGCCGCAGGCCAUGCUGCAGCAGCCGCACGACUGUCACAGACACCCCAGGGACGAUCUCCCCGGGAGUGACCACUAGUGAUCUACCAAAAUCAAGAUGUGGAAACAGGCCCAAAGAAGUUAGGAGGCUGGUUCAAGGUCACACAGCUUGUUCUUAGUCAGCCCGGGACCAGAGUGAGCCGCCCCCCAGCCCAUCAUCACCAUCUCUCCGUGGAGGUCCUCCGUUCUGCAGUUCUGCAGGAAAAGAGGAGAGAGGAACGCAGCACUUAAACCAGAGACUUGAGAAGGGGCCAGCUGGCAAGCUGGUAGAAGGCAGAACUCGUAAAAAUGCUGCACAUUCUC
rnacentral:lncRNA from 1 species